rnacentral:rRNA from 1 species
UACGGAGGGUGCAAACGUUGCUCGGAAUCAUUGGGCGUAAAGCGCACGUAGGCGGUCCGGCAAGUCGGGUGUGAAAUCCCUCGGCUUAACCGAGGAAGUGCAUUCGAAACUACCGGACUUGAAUACUGGAGAGGGUCGCGGAAUUCCCGGUGUAGAGGUGAAAUUCGUAGAUAUUAGGAAGAACACCAGUGGCGAAGGCGGCUCACUGGUCCGGUACUGACGCUGAGGUGCGAAAGCGUGGGGAGCAAACAGGG